rnacentral:rRNA from 1 species
ACAGAGGGUGCGAGCGUUGUCCGGAAUCACUGGGCGUAAAGGGUGCGUAGGUGGCUUGGUAAGCGUGUGGUGAAAGUCCGGGGCUCAACCCCGGAUCUGCCGUGCGAACUGCGAGGCUUGAGCAAUGUAGAGGCAGGUGGAAUUUCGGGUGUAGCGGUGGAAUGCGUAGAGAUCCGAAAGAACACCAGUGGCGAAGGCGGCCUGCUGGGCAUUUGCUGACACUGAGGCACGACAGCGUGGGGAGCAAACAGG